GGUUGAUCCUGCCAGCAAUCAUAUGCUUGUCUCAAAGAUUAAGCCAUGCAUGUCUAAGUAUAAGCGUUAUACGGCAAAACUGCGGAUGGCUCAUUAUAUCAGUUUUAAUCUACUUGUUAAUGUUCUUUUAUAUGGAUAACUGUAGGAAUUCUAGAGCUAAUACAUGAAAAAGAUCUGGACUGGGGGCAACCUUAGGAAGGACGUCUUUAUUUAUCGAAACCAUGGGCUUCGGCCCGUUACUAUGACAUAUAAUAAACAAACGAAUCGAGGGCUUAUGCCAACGAUGAUACAAA
rnacentral:rRNA from 1 species